GUGGCGAAUGCGUACAUCGCAUCCAUCAUCUACUACCGCCUGACCAUCGUGCCUAGCUCCCGUUCGCGCUUCGCCAAGUUGGAGCGCCUCCCCUUCAAAUUCUUGUGGAAGGGCAGGUUCUGUUGGUGAGGCAGUCCAUCUGCUGCCAGUACCCUCUACGUGGAGGGCUGGGCAUACCGUGGCUAAUACGGCAUAGACAUGCGCUGAGGCUGCGGCAUCUCCAGAUAUUCUGCCUAAACGGUGAACAGGUGUGGUUGCCGUUUGUUAAACAUCCUUUCCCCAGCUCGUCUUCUUGAUUGACCUGCAGUCCUGGGUCAAGAAGAGACUCAGACAGAGUGACUGGCAUCUGGAAUGUUGCCAGGCACUCACUGCGCUAUACCAGGCGGGAAAAUUGGCCAGUGGAACAUCCACUCUUGAGUUCUAUAGAGGAUUAGUGGUGGGAAAGUGUGAUGACGCACUCGGAGAGGUACUGGGAGUCGACGAAGUUCAACUGACCAGACUGGACUUUCGAGCCUGGGACGAUGGAUAACUUCUAGAAAUCCCUCGCUUGGCAGUGCUAUCGGAGGGCUCUGCUGGUUCGAGAUAAACCCUAAAAGCACAAAAGUGCUGUCAGAGAUGCACUUUUGAAAGUUUCUCGAUUUCUUUUAGAGACUCGUUGUCAUCUGCUGGUAUCGAUACAUCAAUUAGAAAGCAUUUUUUUUCUUCAUGAUCUCUGACAACUAUAUCUGGCCUUAAUUUGUCUAUUAUUAUUAUUAUUAUUAUUAUUAUUAUUAUUAUUAUUAUUAUUAUUAUUAUUAUACUGUAAAAGGAACUAUCAUAUCAAUGGACUGGUGACAUUUAUACUUUUGUGAUAUUUUGUAAAGUACUGCUACACUGCUUUAAAUAUUACAUGUACUGAUGAAAUGAGGUGCAUGUUAUAUGCUUGUAUAUUUUUUAUGCCAUCAGAUACCGUAAAAACGCUUAAGCUAAUUUUGAAGCAAUACAAAUAAUAAAAAAUAAAUGGUGACAUAGUACAUAAUCGCAACACGUUUUUUGUUUGAUGAUUUCAAAUUUUUAAAUUUCUAAAUUUUUCUUUUGCUUUUCUUUUACAGAUUUUGUCAAAAACUUUGCGGAAACAAACCACCACAGCAUGCUCGCACUACAGCAUUCUAACAUCAGGACUGGAAAAAUUGUAGAAAUAUUAACAGUUGUAGGAAAUCUCAGCAUUAUACUUACUACACAGAUCAUUUCGGUGUUGUGAAAUAACUGUACAAAUCAAUAGUAACUAGGACAUGGUGAGCUCCAGCGAGUCGAAUUCAUAAAAUGGUUUCGCAUCCUUGUUUCGCUAUUUCACUUCACUAAUAUUGCUGAAACUCUUAUUAAAGGCUUCAAUGCCAUACAAUUUCUUAUUCUUUACCAAUGAGUUUGUGGCCAUUUAUUUAAAUAAAAAUGUUCACAGCUUCCACCAAGAUAUAGCUAGACAAUAUAUUGCCAUAAACCUCUCAGAACAUCACAUAGACUUUAUCUCAAAGAAUAGUUAAAAUCUCAAAGAAUAGUUAAAUUUCCUUAACAACUGACAAAAAAAUUGGUAAAGAAUAUCGCGUUCUUCAGUGUAAACUAAUUCUUGUUACGUUUUCUUUGAGUGCUCCCAAAACCAGAUCCAAAGUACAAUAAUGAAUUUUUCCUUCGUAAAAAUAUUUCUAAAAUCAUGACUCGCACCACUCAAGUUUAAUAAAAAUGGUUACAUCACUUAUAAUAAUGGUGUUUCGGUUUUCAUUUUUAUAUUUCCAUUAUAUGUCUGUUAUAUAUCUAUUGUAUGUCCAUUAUAUGUUUAUUCCAUUAGCAAUUAUAUAAAGCUGAGUCUUGAACACAAGUAAUGCACCU
rnacentral:lncRNA from 1 species